AAGUCGUAACAAGGUUUCCGUAGGUGAACCUGCGGAAGGAUCAUUAAAGAGUUAAGGGUCUCUGGCCCGAACCUCCAACCCUCUGUCGUUAUAACUACUUCGUUGCUUUGGCGGGACCGCGAAAGGUUCUCCCGAGCGCGCCGGUCUUCGGACAGGCGAGCGCCCGCCAGAGUUAAACCAAACUCUUGUUAUUUAACCGGUCGUCUGAGUUAAAAUUUUGAAUAAAUCAAAA
rnacentral:misc_RNA from 1 species